rnacentral:rRNA from 1 species
GGCGGACGGGAUGAGUAACGCGUGGGAAUCUACCCAGUAGUGGGGGACAACUACCGGAAACGGUAGCUAAUACCGCAUACGCCCUAUGGGGGAAAGGCUUCGGCCGCUAUUGGAUGAGCCCGCGUCAGAUUAGCUAGUUGGUAGGGUAAAGGCCUACCAAGGCAACGAUCUGUAGCUGGUCUGAGAGGACGAACAGCCACACUGGGACUGAGAUACGGCCCAGACUCCUACGGGAGGCAGCAGUGGGGAAUAUUGGACAAUGGGCGAAAGCCUGAUCCAGCAAUGCCGCGUGUGUGAAGAAGGCCUGCGGGUUGUAAAGCACUUUCAGUUGGGAAGAUGAUGACGUUACCAACAGAAGAAGCACCGGCUAAAUCCGUGCCAGCAGCCGCGGUAAUACGGAUGGUGCGAGCGUUAAUCGGAAUUACUGGGCGUAAAGCGCGC